AGAGUUUGAUCCUGGCUCAGGGUUAACGCUGGCGGCGUGCCUAACACAUGCAAGUCGAACGGUUCUAAGCGCGAGCUUAGGAUAGUGGCGAACGGGUGAGUAAAAGGUAGGAAUCUACCCCUUGGACGGAGAUAGCUACUGGAAACGGUAGGUAAACUUCGAUAAGCCCGAGAGGGGAAAGUGGUGAGACAGCCGAGGGAUGAGCCUACUCUCCAUCAGGUAGUUGGUGAGAUAAAAGCUUACCAAGCCGAUGACGGAUAACCGGUGUGAGAGCAUGAACGGUCACAAGGGCACUGAGAGACGGGCCCUACUCCUACGGGAGGCAGCAGUGGGGAAUCUUGGACAAUGGGCGAAAGCCUGAUCCAGCGACGCCGCGUGGAGGAAGAAGUCCUUCGGGAUGUAAACUUCUGAACUAGCCGAAUAAAAGGCCUGUGGACACACAGGAGAAGAAAGUAGGCUAGGAAAAGUCCCGGCUAACUACGUGCCAGCAGCCGCGGUAAGACGUAGGGGGCAAGCGUUACCCGGAAUUACUGGGCGUAAAGGGGGCGUAGGCGGUAAAAGAAGUCAUCUGUGACAACCUAUUGCUCAACGAUAGGCUAGCGGAUGAAACUGAAUUACUUAAGGGCACCAGAGGUAGACGGAAUUACCCGAGUAGGGGUGAAAUCCGCAGAUACGGGUAGGAACGCCGGUGGAGAAGUCGGUCUACUGGGGUGCACCAGACGCUGAGGCCCGAAAGCUAGGGGAGCAAACCGGAUUAGAUACCCGGGUAGUCCUAGCCGUAAACGAUGCUCACUAGGUGUAGGGAGUGAUAAACUCUCUGUGCUGAAGCGAACGCGCUAAGCGAGCCGCCUGGGGAGUACGUCCGCAAGGAUGAAACUCAAAUGAAUUGACGG
rnacentral:rRNA from 1 species